AUUAAUGCAUAUUAUCUGCUUCUAACAGAAACAAAGCAUCAUUCUUGACUCUACAUUUAAAGGAAAUGACUUCAUGUAUCAACUGCAGAUGCCGGACUGUAACGGUGAAUCUUCCAUUAGCUGUGACUUGUGGCCGUGAGCAAAAAUGUCACUUACUGUAUGCUGCUGGUCCAAUUUUUAACAGUGUUUUGAGUGAUAAGAAGAUAUAUCUGUAUCUGCUGUUACUUUUCUGUAUCCUAAUUACCAGCAACUGUCAUGAAAGUGGCCUACAUCAGAAGAGCUGAUUAUGAGUGAAGUUCUGUGACCCAUCUUAAUACUAUCUUUAGUAUUCUGAAAGACGGUAUACAGAAAAGAGUUACCACAACUCGUUUCUCCGUAUUUCAAAUUCUUGCGAAGGCAUUUUAAAUGAGCUAAUAGCUGAAGUUUUGAAAGCCAGAAGUGAAGUCUUGAAAUCUUCUAUAAAUUUACAUUUUGAUUACCUGUAAAAAUGUAGAACUAUUAAACUGAAUUACAUGCCUUUU